UGGGGGUAUCCAAUAUUUUCA
rnacentral:piRNA from 1 species